UCACUACAAUUAGGUCGAGUAGUCCGGAGAACAAGGCAGUGAGUGAGUAGACAUCAUCUUCAACUGUGACAGCUUAGUUCCGUUAAUUUAAGCACAGUAAAGGGAAGAAAGAAGCCGUCAUGGCAACUUCAAUACUUGGGGAAGAACCCAGAUUUGGAACCACUCCGUUGGCAAUGUUGGCCGCAACUUGUAAUAAGAUUGGCAAUACAAGCCCAUUAACAACUUUGCCAGAAUCCAGUGCAUUUGGGAAGGGCGGAUUUCAUCCAUGGAAACGGUCUGUCUCCAACUGUAAUCUGGGGUCGGGCCUGUCGGGAUUCAGCGUGGCCAACAGUCGAGCUUCAGGCGGUAUAAGCAACAGUUUCUCGGUGAGCAGCGGUUCCGGGAACAGCGCCUUCUGUUUGGCUUCCACUUCUCCAACGUCUUCUGCCUUCAGCACUGAAUACAACCUCUUCUCCAACUCCGUCUCGGCGAGUGUCAACACGCAAGACACCGGACAAUCGGCUUUCAUAUCCAAAGUCCACUCUUCCGCUGACACUCUUCAGGGAAUGUACCCGAGGGUCGGCAUGGCUCAUCCUUAUGAAUCCUGGUACAAAUCCGGGUUCCACACGAGCAUUUCUGGCGAGGUUGGCAGCGGGGCGUCCUCCUGGUGGGACGUGCACACUAACCCCAGCUGGCUGGAAGUUCAGAAUCCAAAUGGGGGCCUCCAGCCCACCCUGCACUCCGGGAGCGCACAGGCUUCACUGCACACACAGCUUAGUACUUACAACGCGGAUUUCUCAACUCUGAGCCACUCCGCCUUCAGUUCCACCGGGAUCGGCUCCACCGCCUCUCACCUGUUGUCCACGGGGCAGCACCUCCUCGCUCAAGAUGGCUUCAAACCUAUGAUUCCGUCCUAUACGGAUUCCACCUCUGCUGCAAUCACGGCGAACUCGAUGAUUUCAGGCCCGUCGGGACUAGGCAGUUCAGCCAGGUCCUCACGGCGAUAUUCCGGCAGAGCAACCUGCGACUGCCCCAACUGCCAGGAGGCCGAGCGCCUUGGACCUGCGGGAGCCAGCCUUCGGAGGAAAGGCCUCCACAGCUGCCACAUUCCAGGAUGCGGUAAGGUCUACGGCAAGACCUCUCACCUCAAGGCACACUUACGAUGGCACACUGGGGAGAGGCCCUUCGUUUGUAACUGGUUGUUCUGCGGCAAACGCUUCACCCGAUCGGACGAGUUGCAGAGACAUUUGAGAACCCAUACGGGAGAGAAGCGCUUCGCCUGUCCGGUCUGCAACAAACGCUUUAUGAGAAGUGAUCACCUCAGUAAACACAUCAAAACACACAGCGGCGGCGGAGGCAAAAAGGGCAGCGAUAGUGAUACCGACACCAGCAACUUGGAGACCCCCAGAUCAGAAUCGCCAGAUAUCCUCAUGGAGGCUGUGCAUUCCAAUAGAGCAAUCAAAACAGCCACUCCGGUACAAAAUGAUUCCUAAAUCUAAUACCCAAAACAGGAACUUAUUAAAAAUUUGUGUCCAGUACAGUAUGACUAUUAAGUACUUGGAGUUCCAAGCCCUGCACUCUCACGGAAGUUACAUCUUAAAAGGAGCGAAGCCACGAAAUAUUAACAGGAAAUCUUCCAAACUAAAUCGAAAGAUAAGAAAACAUAUCGACAAUGCUACCGGAGGGAAAUCGACAGACCUGCUUCCAAACAUCAAAUAAUAUGAAUUGCUUAUUAGGCUGUUAAUAGAUUUAGCCAUAUUGAAAUAUAUAAAUUAAGAACAUUAUCGUGGUGCUAGUAACCGUUUUUUACAAGACGCUUGAAUGUACAUGCCUGACGUCCAAAGCGAUUACAAUACUGUGAAAACGGGGGCACAGCUGAGUUCUCUGUGGAAUACGAGAACAGUUAAUACCCCGUAGCAAACAUUUCAUGCCUUAAUGAAAAGCUUGUUAAAUGUUAGUAAUUUUGACUCGGAACACACAGCAGCCCCCAGUGCCUUGUAUUCCCGAUUAGAGAUUCAUGUUUUAUCAAAUAUCCAAUUAAUCUCUCAGACAUCAUUUGUUCCCCUGAACUUUAUCCGAGCUUGUCCAUGUAAAACUCCUGAGAUUUCUAGCGACAAAGCGCCAUUGAAGAUCCAUUUUAAUUUUUCAAAUUAACUGGACAUAUUUGCAUGUCAAACGAAUAAAAAAAAACGAA